UGGGUAAUCUGCCCUCGAUUCUGGGAUAGCCCGGGGAAACCCGGAUUAAUACCGGAUAGCCUCUCGAGCUUUCGAGCUCGUGAGAAAAGGUAGCUUCGGCCUCCGAUCGAGGAUGAGCCCCGCGGCGGAUUAGCUUGUUGGUGGGGUAA
rnacentral:rRNA from 1 species